rnacentral:piRNA from 1 species
UGUGCAUGCCAUGUGCUUUCAUUUAUUUAA